rnacentral:rRNA from 1 species
AUGAGUCACGGAGAUGGCACUGAUCUUUUCGGUUCUCAAAGGCCAGAAACGCCCCCUUGGGAUGCAUCAGAAUACAGUCAACUCAUUUCUGCAGGGCCGUUGCUACCACUACUAGAACAGUACGCAGGCAUUGGUUCUUAUGACCAAAACACACUGAGGGGGGCACCAUGGCAAGUUCAGUCACAGGGCGCUAACACUGACAAAUGUAUGGGCAGCCAACUUCAAGUAGCUAAUGUGGCAAAUCAGGAGCCUUCGUGCAACACGUGGCAUCAGGAGGCACCCAUGUACCUGCCAUCGACGUCAUACACAGGUUAUUACGAUGCUUCUACCCUGGCAAACGUCUCAUGGCAAGCUUCACACAAUGCAGAUAGAGCACAUCAAUUUGGUGUUACACACCACACAAGAUGGGCACAUGCAGCACAACAAGGACAUCUACUGACUACAACUACAAUGAACAGCGGCGCAGGGGCAUCUACUGCGGGAAGCUCUGAGCGCACGGAAGACGCAGUCCUCCAGCCAGCCACAAGUCAUGUCGCAAACAAUACCGAGUCAGAGUCAGAAAUGGCAAUCAUUCCUGCAAUGCCGACAAGCACCCCUUUGAACACAAGCACUGGGAACACUCAAGUAGAUCAAACUGCCACCGAUACUGAAGUGAAUCAUGAAACUAAUGACGAAGCACAAUGGGAUGAAGAUGGUGGGCAAUCAGAGAUCAUGGUACCUCAGCCACCGUACAUUGGGCAGAGAUUUGAAUCGUUCGAAGAAGCAAAGGAAUUCUACCAGACAUAUGCAAAGUUCCAUGGGUUUGCGGUCAACACCGAAUACCAUAGGAAGAUUAAGAAAACAAACGAAUACAGCAGAGGUGAGAUGAGGUGCCACAAGGCACGAAGGAACAAGAAGGGGAAAGAUUCAGAACCUGAUGACCCGGACAAGGGAAGGAACUACUUCGUGAAAGCCUCGAUCGGCCAAGGCGAAUACUACUGGCAAUGCUGCAAGUUUGAACGGGACGGCAUUGUGUGUUGUCACAUACUAAAAGUAAUGGACAUGAACGUGGUGACACGGAUGCCCUGCCAUUUCAUAAGGCGGCGAUGGACUUGGGACGCUGACGACGCGUUGGCGCCGCAGACAACAAACGCAGUCCUGGCUGUACAUGACGAGAGACCGGAGUCAACCAUGGAAGCCGUGAGGCACGUUGUGCUGACAAAGAACUAUGCUGAGCUAAUUGAUGAAGCAUGCAAGAGUGAUGAGACAGCGAGAGUCGCAGAAAAACACAGGAAGGCCCUAAAAAGAGAGCUUGAUGAGAUCAAGAAGAGGAAAGCUGAGGAAGCCUUACACCGGUUCCCCCGCACGUCAAGUGUGCCUUCAUCCACGGGGCCAUCGUCAGAAAACUCGGAGAUAGGAUCUGGAACAGCAAGCACACAAACCCAGGUCAGGAACCCGCCCCAUUCCAUCACAAAGGGGCGUCCAAAAGAGAUAAGAUACAAAUCGGGAUUGGAGAUUCAAGCAAAACACAAGAAAACAAAGAAAGGGACAGGCAAUCCGUAA